rnacentral:ncRNA from 1 species
GAUAGAGGCGCGGGCUUCAAGAGUACCGCUUUCCAACGGCAGAGCACCGGGAAGGCGGGAAAGGGGAGACCGCCGAGGCGUCUUUCCGCUGCCUGGCGGAAGGAGGCCGGGCCGCCGGAGAAUAUCCGUCGGACUGUCACCCCCGCGGUGGAGCGCUGUC